CAAACCCAUGAGUGUGCUGGCCAUGAACUGCGUCACUUCAGGCUCGGGUCCCCAUGGAGCCCUGCUUUUGUGCCCACGGCUCUGUGCCCCACACUCAGGCCACAGGGGCGACACCUCCAUCUCUCUGGUUCCCCCCACAGACCCUGACGCCCAUCCACCCAGGGAGCCCUCACCGAGCGCCUCCUCUGCCAGGCAGGGGUGAUGGAGGACACAGGCCUGCCCUCGGGGGGCUGGGGGCCACGCCGAGGGUGGGAGCCCACGGGAGCGGGGCAGGGAGUCCCCAGGAGGGUUUCCCAGACAGGGACGUGUGGGGGUGACAGGGGCAUUCCUCACGGUGCCAGCAUGUCCAGAGGCUCAGAGGCGCCCAGCUCACAGCCACGGGCAUCACAGGAGCCUGGGGGACGGGUGAGGAGCUGGGGGAGACGGUGAGGCUCAGUCCUCAGGUGGGCUGAGGCCUGUCACGAGUGAGUGACACCUGGACGCUCUGACCGUGAGCUGAUGCCCUGGCACUGGGGUUUGAAUACAGGUCCCUCACAGGGGUUCCACUUGGAUGCAGGGGUGUAUGCGGGGCCAGGGCAGACCCCGAGGCCACCCACAGAGGGGACUAGUCUGAGAGUGAACCAGCUGGUCCAGAGACAGGACAGGUGCCCAUGCCGGAGCUGUGUGAGGGGCUCGGGCAAAGUGGACAGACUGGGGAGCAGACGGCGGACCUGGGAGCCCGUCCCAGCUCGGCUGAGGCAGCCUGAAGGUGCCCGGUGGGGGCUGGAGGGCCUGGGGCGAACGGGAAGCUUGGCCGGAGCUGGAGCCCCAGGCUGAGGUUCUUGUUCGUUCUGCACAACCAGGUGCGGUGGGCAACUUCCGGCAGUACCUGGGGCAUUAGGGGGCUGACUCAGCCAGGCCUCCGCCCGCCCCUCAUCUAGGCACAGGGUACAUCAUGGUGCAGAGUCAGGGGAGCUGGCGGGGUGAAGGUCGGGAGUCACCCGUCUGCCCCGGGUUGGAACAGCGGGCCAUGGGAGGGGAGACUGACCUCCCCAACUGCAGCCGGGGCCUUGUGGUGUCCACCUUCCAUCGCUCCCUGACUGCUGGAAUCUGCGUUUCCUUCUUUCCCACCUAAGCUCAGGGUCCACCGUCUUUGUGCGAUGUGGCCCGGUGGUUCUGAGCACAGCGGUGGGGUGAGGGGGUGCAGGGCCACGAUGACCUGCUGGUGGGGGGUGGACAGUGGGCGAGGGGCACUGCGGGGACUGAGAGCUAGCCUCCCAAACUUUCACGAACCCUGGAAUGCUGUUAAAGGGCGGAUUCUGGCUCAGGAGUUCUGGGAUUCUGCGUUUCUAAUGAGCGGCUGAUGUGUGGACCACACGGGUGAUAGUGAAACCCCAGGAAGCUCCCCUUAGUACCUGCUGCCUGGCGAGCUCCCAUCGGGGCACUCAGAGGGGAGGGGCUCCUUGGCCUGGAGCCAGGAGCCACACUGUAUGACCUACCAGGGACCCUGUGCCCCCAGGGCCUUGGGCCGGUGAUGCUGAAGGCUUAGUCAGUGUGUUUGUUGGCACAGAAACUAGGGAUCUGCCCACAAAUGAUCUCACUCUGUCCUUGCUGCUCUGAGGGUUAGAGAAGAAAAGCCCGUGAGAAGGGGAGGCCAAGAGCGGUUGGUGGAUUCUCCCCGGGUUGUGGUUUUAGUUGGCAGAGACAGGAUCAGAACCCCGCUCUGAACAGGGGACCUUCCCGUUCCGCCAGCAUCACUGAUCUUAGGUUUGGAGGCUGGCACGGCAGUGGCUGGGAGUUGUCUCCUGUCCUGUCAUCUGCCCCCUGAUCCUGAGGAGCCCGGGGUUGCAGGCUGGGGGGGGUGGUGGUGAGGAAGGUCACCUCUGCCUUCAGCCGCUCGAUCUCGACCUCCCCGUCCUCGAUCUGCUGCCGCAGCUGCUUGGCCACCGUCUUCUCCGUCUCCACGAUCUGCAGCAGGUGCAGGUACUUCUGCAUCAGCGCCUCGUGCUCGGUGGCCAGGGUCCGGUAGCUGUGGACGGGUGGAUGUGGCAGGUGAGGCACGGCCCGUUUAGCCCGAGGGACCCAGUCUGAGUGGGGCUCACGACCCAGCGCCCUCGGGAGAGGACCCCAACUCCCAGACACAGUGUGUGUCUGACGACCUGGUCUCUGUAGCUAAUUUGGACAGAUAGUCCUUGAAGACAGGGAUGGAGACAGCCUGACCUCAAGGCUAAGGUCAGGGCCGUGGCCAUCAUAAAGGGCUUCUGGUGAGCAAAGGUCAAGAAAGGGCCGUAGAAUCCAUCUGUCUGUCAAUCCUUCCUUCCUUCCUUCCUUCCUUCCUUCCUUCCUUCCUUCCUUCCUUCCUUCCUUCCUUCCUUCCUUCCUUCCUUCCUUUUGACACCCUCUCCUCAAUCAUUUAUCCACCCUCCAUUCAUCUUCCUUACAGCAUGCGUCCUUGCGUCCAUCCUCAGUCCGUGCAUCUAUCCUCACAUUCUUCUGCCCAGCCCCCCUUUGCUGAGCAGCAGGCCCUGGGAAUGCCAAAAUUGCACUGGUCCCCACCCCACAUUCUGCAGGAAGACAGACACAGAAACAGCAAUAUCCACUGAGCCAGGAAGAGCUACCACUCAUCCAGCUCCAAGGCCUUCUGGUUCUCCUGGCUGAAGUUGACCGUGAAGUAAUGCUGCACAGAGAGGAAAUCUCCGAUUACCGGGGUCGUCCCCAGAAGCCGCAGCGCCUGACAGUCCGGCUGUUUGCAAGACGCGUGCAGCCGCGUCCGCUGGGCACCGGUGCCUUCGCCGUGAUGGUCUGAGCGCUGAGCUACUUAGUGCGCUCAGAGUCCUGAUUGAGGCGGGCUCUGUGUGGUGAAGCAGAACCUAUACUUAGGGUAUUGCGAGAGCCCACAACGCCCCAGUCACCAACAAAUUGCAAAACCAGCCAGUUUUCUGCCACCACGUGCGCUGCGGGGAAAACACGAGGAGAACCUCCCGAGGAAACAGAUAACUGGGGCCAGGGAAGGAAAUGUCAGCCGCAGACUCAAAUAACUGAAUCCGCGAGGCUCCGGUGGGCACCCCUCCGCCUCAGGACGGAAGCAGGCGGAGGGGGCGCCACAGGUGGGUGCCUAGAGCUUCCCCCUCUCCAGAGACGAUGGGCUCAUGCGUGUGUGUCUCCCAGGACCUGUUUAUUCCCACAUUCCCCAGCGAGAACAGGUAUUAGCACCUGUUUUCCAGUGGAUGAACCUGAGGCUCAGAGACAUUGAGCCACCUGCUGAAGGCCACACAGCAGGAAGGCAGAGGAGUCGGGACAACAAGGCUUCACUGAGCACCAACCGUGGGGUUUGGCCCUGGACUUGGCACUGGGGUGUGAAGCGAUCCCCCCAAAGGACAUACUGCCAUGUCACAGCGGCUGGGCUUACUGACUAACAGCAAAAGCCACAAGCAGGCAGAGAAUGCCGCCCACUUCACAGGGUUGCGUAAAACAGAGGGUGUUGCGGGAGCCCCUCGGUGGCAGAAUGCUCAGGGAUGGUCUGCGGACCCGAGGGGUCGUCUGCACGGUCCAGGUGCUGGCUGGACUCGGCCUGCCCAGGGAAGCAUGCUUGCGUGUGCAUUCACAUGCAUGUACACAGCGUUCCCUAAAAUCCACAUGUACCUGGCACCUGUGAGUGUUUGCAAACCGGAUCUUUGCAGACGGAUGCAAGUCAAGAUAAGGUCACAGUGGGAGACGUGACAUGCAAGCAGGGAGGCAGGUGUGGGACAACUGCGUCUGUGGGUCACGUGACGCCUAGGGCGGCCCGCAAUCGUCAGCGCGGGAAGAAGCAGGAAAGACUAUCCUGCAGAGCCUUCGGGCCCCCAGAACUGAUCCCAGGGAGGCCACGCUGUCCUCCAGCCCUUGCGGGAAGAGGUCUCAUCCUGACCCAGGCCAGGCCACCCCUGGUGUGUCUUCUAACCUCUGUCACCACUUCCACAGCAGAGUGUAUGCUCCUCAGCCAUGGCUCCUCCCGACCCGGCUGCGCCACCCUCAUGCCUGGCGCAGAGCAGGGCCUCCCUGGGUACAGUGUUUCCCAGUCGGGCCUGCUCGAUGGACAUGCUGGUCUCUGCUGGCCCCACUGGUGCUUCUGUACCAAUCCAGAGAGGCCCGGACUGCCCGCACCCCCACAACAGCCCUCACCUGAUGUGGCUACACAGGACGCUGCACCCCACUUAACAGCCCUCUGCCCCCACUACAAGUGGCCUCAUUCCGGCUCAAUCUGUGCCUCUGAGUUCUCAAGUCAGCGACUCCCCAGGACUCUCUCUGAAAGCUGAGUGCCUGCCUCAGGCCCCUGUCCCCCUGUCAGUCUCCCCUGCUCUGUCUGGUCACCCUGCUCAGGCCUGAGUCCUGCCUCCGGGAGCGCCCUGCUGCACACCUUACACUCCCGCGUGCAGCCAAAGGGGUGUGAGCAGUGAUGUAAGGUCAGAACGGAAAAGCCUGGGAAGAGGCCCUGCACAGGGCUCAACCCACAGCCCAGGGCCUGUGUCUGCGCGGCGCUCCAAACUGCUGACCCAUCCUGGCUUUCGUGGGAGCUCCCCCAGACCACAGACGUCACAUGGGUUGGUCCGGCAUGCACCUUGUUCCAUCUGUCCUCACAAUGCACCAGCCUGCCCCUGACCUUCCCACCAGCCACCUCUCUGAUGUUUGCUGGAUGAACUUGUCCAAUACAUCUGCCCUUCAGCUUCUCUUUGUAAAAACAAAAAAGUCGUUUAUUUGCUUUUCUAUAACUAAUUAUAAAAGGCUUUUAAGGUCUGAGUUGGAUUUUCCAAUCUGGAAAACCUAAGAACUCAACUAGAAGUAUCUUUUUGAAAAUAAUUAUCUCACUUUUCAGAGGAAACAGGUGUCAUUUGCUUUGUCGAAUUAGUAAGAUCUAGUCUUUAAUGUAUUAACUUUCCGAAUGUAACGGUUGGCCUGGAUGUCCACUCACUUUAAUGACCCCAAACUGGAGGCCUGGCUCAAGUUCUGACCCUGGCAUUGACUCGCAGUGAGAACUUGGGGCCUGGAAGAGACAGUCACUACUUAUCUGUUCAGAGAUGAGCUCCAUCCAGCUGAGCCUCAUGUGCCAGAUGAGAAGCCUGGCUCCCCAGGUCCCAU